AGAUGAAGAAACCUGAUCAAGGGUAUAUAGAGCAGGUCUGUACCAGAAUGAGAAACUGUGAAGUCACAAGAGUUGAACUAUGGGUGCACUAAGACUGCCAACACACAAUGGAAGAAGCAAAAAUGGGGAGAUUGAGGGGACUGCACAAAAUGGAAAAAUCUCUUUCUGAAAAUCAUGCCUACCCAAUGAUAUUAAUUUCGACCUUUAGUCUGCUCAGAAUCUAUUGGCAUCAUGAAAUUUUCUGUUUUUUGUGAAAGGAAAUUGGCCUUCCUCCUACCAGCAUACGUGGAGCCAGAGAAUGCCCCAGAGUUGUCAAGGCAACAGCUUUUGCUUGGGGAGCUGCAGAAGAGAAAGUGACAGGAACGUCCUCCAGAGAACCAAGGUCUUUUGUUGUAUGUCAUAUAAACAUGUGCGUCCUCCUUUUGCUGCAA